UACAGAGGGUGCAAGCGUUGUUCGGAAUUAUUGGGCGUAAAGCGCGUGUAGGCGGCCGGGUCAGUCGGGUGUGAAAGCCCUCAGCUUAACUGAGGAAGUGCGCCCGAAACUGCCUGGCUUGAGUACCGGAGAGGGUGGCGGAAUUCCGCAAGUAGAGGUGAAAUUCGUAGAUAUGCGGAGGAACACCGGUGGCGAAGGCGGCCACCUGGACGGUCACUGACGCUGAGACGCGAAAGCGUGGGGAGCAAACAGG
rnacentral:rRNA from 1 species